rnacentral:rRNA from 1 species
GAUGAACGCUGGCGGCGUGCCUAAUACAUGCAAGUCGAGCGAACGGACGAGAAGCUUGCUUCUCUGAUGUUAGCGGCGGACGGGGGAGUAAAACGUGGAUAACCUACCUAUAAGACUGGGAUAAAUUCGGGAAACCGGAGCUAAUACCGGAUAACAUUUUGAACCGCAUGGUUCAAAAGUAAAAGACGGUCUUGCUGUCACUUAUAGAUGGAUCCGCGCUGCAUUAGCUAGUUGGUAGGGUAACGGCUUACCAAGGCAACGAUGCAUAGCCGACCUGAGAGGGUGAUCGGCCACACUGGAACUGAGACACGGUCCAGACUCCUACGGGAGGCAGCAGUAGGGAAUCUUCCGCAAUGGGCGAAAGCCUGACGGAGCAACGCCGCGUGAGUGAUGAAGGUCUUCGGAUCGUAAAACUCUGUUAUUAGGGAAGAACAUAUGUGUAAGUAACUGUGCACAUCUUGACGGUACCUAAUCAGAAAGCCACGGCUAACUACGUG